rnacentral:rRNA from 1 species
GCUCUUAACUGAGUGGGAAUUCCAAAUGGGGUAUUGCUUUCGGGUAGUGCUCCUCAGCUCCAGCUCGUUUACUUUGAGAAAAUUAGAGUGUUUAAAGCAGGCGUUGGUAAAACAAGUGCCUUGAAUACUACAGCAUGGAAUAAUGGAAUAGGACUUCGUGCCUCAUUUUGUUGGUUUCUAGGCCUGGACGAAGUAAUGAUUAAUAGAGAUAGUUGGGGGUAUUCAUAUUUAAUUGUCAGAGGUGAAAUUCUUGGAUUUAUGAAAGAUGAACUUCUGCGAAAGCAUUUAUCAAGGAUGUUUUCAUUAAUCAAGAACGAAAGUCAGGGGAUCGAAGACGAUCAGAUACCGUCGUAGUCUUGACCAUAAACGAUGCCGACCAGGGAUUGGGAGACGUUACAUUUGGAUGACUCCCCCAGCACCUUGCGAGAAAUCACAAGUCUUUGGGUUCCGGGGGGAGUAUGGUCGCAAGGCUGAAACUUAAAGGAAUUGACGGAAGGGCACCACCAGGAGUGGAGCCUGCGGCUUAAUUUGACUCAACACGGGGAAACUCACCAGGUCCAGACAUUGUUAUGAUUGACAGAUUGAGAGCUCUUUCUUGAUUCAAUGGGUGGUGGUGCAUGGCCGUUCUUAGUUGGUGGAGUGAUUUGUCUGGUUUAUUCCGAUAACGAACGAGACCUCAGCCUGCUAACUAGUUAUGCGAACCGCCUGUAUGGGUGAAGUACUCGCUGGCUGUGGCGUGGAG